CACGUAGGGUGCAAGCGUUGUCCGGAAUUAUUGGGCGUAAAGGGCUCGUAGGCGGUCCGUCACGUCGGGAGUGAAAACUCGGGGCUCAACCCCGAGCCUGCUUCUGAUACGGGCAGACUAGAGGUAUGCAGGGGAGAACGGAAUUCCUGGUGUAGCGGUGAAAUGCGCAGAUAUCAGGAGGAACACCGGUGGCGAAGGCGGUUCUCUGGGCAUUACCUGACGCUGAGGAGCGAAAGUGUGGGGAGCGAACAGG
rnacentral:rRNA from 1 species